AUUGAACGCUGGCGGCAGGCCUAACACAUGCAAGUCGAACGAGUGGCGGACGGGUGAGUAAUGUCUGGGAAACUGCCCGAUGGAGGGGGAUAACUCCUGGAAACGGUGGCUAAUACCGCAUACCCUAGGAUGUGCCCAGAUGGGAUUAGCUAGUAGGUGGGGUAACGGCUCACCUCGGCGACGAUCCCUAGCUGGUCUGAGAGGAUGACCAGACACACUGGAACUGAGACACGGUCCAGACUCCUACGGGAGGCAGCAGUGGGGAAUAUUGCACAAUGGGCGCAAGCCUGAUGCAGCCAUGCCGCGUGUAUGAAGAAGGCCUUCGGGUUGUAAAGUACUUUCAGCGGGGAGGCGUUACUCGCAGAAGAAGCACCGGCUAACUACGUGCCAGCAGCCGCGGUAAUAC
rnacentral:rRNA from 1 species